AUACAUCAGCAUCCACUGCCCGUGGUUCAUGUUGAUGCAUUCCUUUAUGAUGAUGAUUUUCGUUGAUUCAUUGUGUGAGGAGGAGAGAAUGAAUAGAAAUUACUGCGCAGAGUGUGGCUCAUACAAGACUGCAUCUUUAGGGUUAUCUUUAUAGCUCAGCAUCCCAACUCUAUGGAGUAGAAAUGAAGACUUUUGCCAGUUGCAAGAAAUGACAGUUAUAAAAUACCAGCUCAUUGACAGAAUAAAGGUGAAAGUAAAUGAAAUCAAGCCAGCUCCUAUGCUGUCUGGGGACGCAGUCAUUUGGGAAGGUGGUUCAUGCAGACAUCUGUACUCAGGCUUCACUUCUUCAGUAGGCUGAUGUUUGUUGUUGUAAUGAAUAAUGUCUUUGAAUAUUUUCUCGACAGACUGGAACAGGCCAGAGCUUGGGAGUUUAUUGCUUGUAAUGUAAAGAAAAGAGGGUCCUUAUUAGUGACAGUUCCAAACCUUAAAGAUUUGCUCUCAAAGCUUCGGGUAAGUUCCCUCAGUCAGUUUUAUCCAACACAUUUUGUCACUUUCUAUGGAAAAGCAGUUCUGUGCUGGAGGUUAGCUGCUUGCCAGCAUUGCCAUCAGAAAGGGUAUGUAAUUUAGGGCAUAGAUUUAAAACCUGUAGGAUUCUUGAUUUUAUUUCCAGGUUGACCACC